AACAAACACAAUACAGUGCAUAGUGAUGGCUAAAAACGAAUUAAAGCUUUUGGGUGCUUGGUUCAGUCCUUAUGCCCUAAGGGUGAAGAUUGCCCUUAAUCUCAAGGGUGUAGAUUAUGAGGUUAUUGAAGACACUUUGUUUCCCAAAAGUGAACUUCUUCUUAAGUCCAACCCUGUGCUCAAGAAAAUCCCAGUUCUUUUCCAUGCAGAUAAAGCCAUAUGUGAAUCUGCAAUCAUAGUUGAAUACAUUGAUGAGGUUUGGAGCAAUGCUCCCUCCAUACUUCCACAAAAUGCCUAUGAUCGAGCUCAGGCCAGAUUUUGGGUUGCUUACACAUGAAAAGUGGUUUUCGUCCUUGAGAAACAUUCUGAUAGCUGAAGAUGAUGAGGCAAAAAAGCGAGACUUUGAGCAAGCAGAGGAAGUAGUUGAGAGGUUGGAAGAAGUGUUGAAGGGGAAGACAUGAGACAAUUGGAUUCAUUGAUAUUGUUUUUGGUAGCUUUCUGAGUUGAGAGUUAUUCCCUCA